rnacentral:rRNA from 1 species
UGAGGAAUAUUGGUCAAUGGGCGAGAGCCUGAACCAGCCAAGUAGCGUGCAGGAUGACGGCCCUAUGGGUUGUAAACUGCUUUUAUAUGGGGAUAAAGUGGGGAACGUGUUCCCUUUUGCAGGUACCAUAUGAAUAAGGACCGGCUAAUUCCGUGCCAGCAGCCGCGGUAAUACGGAAGGUUCGGGCGUUAUCCGGAUUUAUUGGGUUUAAAGGGAGCGUAGGCCGUUUGGUAAGCGUGUUGUGAAAUGUAGGAGCUCAACUUCUAGAUUGCAGCGCGAACUGUCAGACUUGAGUGCGCACAACGUAGGCGGAAUUCAUGGUGUAGCGGUGAAAUGCUUAGAUAUCAUGAAGAACUCCGAUUGCGAAGGCAGCUUACGGGAGCGCAACUGACGCUGAAGCUCGAAGGUGCGGGUAUCGAACAGG